UCACAGCUUGGUGGCCACCCUGUGUGUGUGUGUGUGUGUGUGUGUGUUUGUUAGCUCUAUGUUGUCACAACAGGCCUUUAACACACGACAUCCUUAUGUCCAGAUUGGAGAGACAUGGAUUUGAAAAGUGGACUGUUUGGUGGGUAAGGAACAGGAUGGAUUGCUGCAGCCAGAGAACUGCAGUCAAUGGCUCUAUGUCCAGGUGGAGGCUGGUGACAAGCUCUGUCCCUCAGAGCUGUGUCUUGGGUCUGGCAUAUUAAUAUUAAUAGGGCAUAUUAAUAUUUCCAUCAACAGCAUCAAUCUCCAUCUCCCACGGAGUGUGGGAUCAAGGACACCCUCAGCAAAUUUGCAGGUGACACCAAGCUGAGUGGUGCAGGUGACACUCCUGAAGGAUGGGAUGACAGCCAGAGGGAACUGGAGAAGCAGGCCCAUGGGAAACUCACCACCUUCAAGAAGUCCAAGUGCCAGGCACAGCAGUUGAGAGAUACUGCUGAAGAGACAUUCCUUUAUUUUCUGAUGAUCCUCCAAACCUGCCUGUGCUGUUCCCUGAUGUGCCAGCAGCUGGGAUUGCUAGUCCAUCAGGACAGCAGUGCCUGGCUAUAAACUUCAGCUGGACUGUAAGGUAAGGACAAGCUUUGCUCCUCAGGAAGAAGCUCCACCAGCUAUGCAGCCACCUUAUCCUCGUGACCUUGUGUGUCACCAUCUGCCACGGGCUCACAGGUGAGAACUGUUUCCUUUUCUUGGAGAGAUGAGUUUAAAGGUGAAGCUGAUUGUUGUCAUAUGUUUAUUGCUAUUGGUUUGUUGUACCCAUGUGGAGCUUAUUGCAGUGUUAUCCUAUUCAUAUCUAUUCAAAAUUCCCCUUUGGUGUUUCAAAAAUUCCUUCUGGCUAAGUUCUUUAUGGUGCUGCUUAGGGCAACUUUGUCCCUUUCUGAUGAGUAGUGAUCCUCUUCUAGGUUUGAGGACUGAGAUGUGACAUGGAUGGCAGUUACUUCUAUUUAUAUUGCCAAAGGGAAGGUUAAAAAGUUGAUUUGAUGUAUGUUUUGCAAACAGAAUAUGAUGGGAAUGUGGAAUAUUUUUGCCGAAAAGAAACGUUGUUUUGUUUUGUUACAUUGCACAGACCUGUUAAGAGCAGUCUUUGGAAGCCUUCUGAAGAUAAGGGGCUGGAUGUAUUUGUGUUGUCAGCUGUCACAUGUGGUAGUGCAGGCUGGUGGGAUGGGAGAAGGUCACCUGCAGAAUCUGGGGUUUCACGAUGAACAAACCAACUGAGCCACGCAUGCGAGUCUGUGAUUUGCUUGCAAAGAUCCAGAGUAGCAGAAGGAGCAUUUCAUAGGAUAUGAGCCUGCUUUUUAAGUCUCAUUUUUUCAGUUUUUCAUAUCCAAACAUGCUGUUUUAGGACAAGUGGAUGAUUUGCUUGAGGUGUUCCUUGUGGGAUGGUGAGUGAGCAGUGAAGGGAAUCAGGUGCAGCUGGGAGUGUAACCAAAUACCAGUCCAAAAAACCAUGUUAAACUUAUUUCUUUUCCUCUUGGGAAAGGAUGUCUGCAGCAUAUGGGAUUUCUGGGAAUUCUUCUUCCUGGGUUAAACCAAAGUAGAGCAGAAGCUGUGCUCAUCUAAUGUGCUUGUGCAUGUAGCUCCACCCAGAGCCUUCACAGGGUGUUCCCUGCAUGUGAAACCAAGUCCUGGGACUGAGCAGUAUCUAAUGCCACAACAACAAAAUCGGUUUCAAACUAAAGCUGCUGAAAGUUGGGGAAUAAAUGUGCUCCUCCUGUUAGCUUCAUGUUCUGCUGAGAUAUCCUGGAAUAUCCUCACUCUGUUUAUCAGAGUCACUGUACAAGGCACUGGGCAUUUUUUUUUUUUUUUUGAUAAGGAGUGAAGAUGCAUCAGUGGGACUGAAGCAGGCCUGAAAGAAAUUUGGGAAUGAUAUGGUUUCUGUUUGGCUUGUUAUGUUUUUUUUUUUUUUUUUUUUUUUUUUCCUUUUGGCUUGUUUGUUUUUGUUUUCCCCUGGGUGACUUGCCUCCUUGAAUAACUGAGGGUCAAGAUAAGUCUGUUCAACUUUAUAUUGAUGGUUUUGGGUAUCAUUUAACCCUGUAUAAUAUAUAAAAUAGGUAUUUAUAUGUUAGUAGGUUUCAUAUUAGUACAGAGACAGUAAUCCUAACAAAUCCCUUUUCUUUCAGUUAGUAAGCAACAUACAGUCUAAAAUCCUCACUGAUGUGGGGAAAAAAAAUCCUGCAGAUAUUUCUUGACCCUGCUUUAUGUCCUGGUUUUUUAUCAGCUGUUGGCACAAUCAAAGAGCUUCAUUACAACAGCUGAAACCAGAGUCUCCGAAAUGUGAAGUGGUAUGUUUGACCUGGUGUUAAUUGUACUUGUCAGUGAUCUUUAAGUGGCAGAGUGAGGGCAGAUGUUUUAUAGAUAGCUUUCCUGAACCAAGAUUCAGUAGCAGAACAGGAUGUGGCUUUCAUAAAGGGAAUCCUUGUAUCUGGCAACAUCAGCUUCAGAUCCUGGAAACCAGCACCUACAAAAAUGGACAAUACUGGGGUUUGCUUGGAUGCUGGAAGGCAGCAGCAGAUCAGGCAGGAUGUCUUCUGCUGGGAAUGGGGUCAGCUGCUGCACAAGCUCUUGACCUGCUCUCUCUGACAUGUGAGCUCCAGAUUGUAUCCUGGAAAUGUGCAGCUUAAACAGCAAGGCUGAUUCUGAUCUUUUUCCUGAAAUGUAAGAAAAUUCUGCUGUAACAAAGGAAAAUAAAGGUUUU